rnacentral:lncRNA from 1 species
UUGGACAACAGGGCGAAGAGAGAAGGAUGGACGAAUGCACUGGUGGGCAAUUUGAGAGGUCUCUAGUAGGUCGAGUAGGAGUAAGUAGACAAGGAGAGGGACAACAACGUCAUCAACAUACCGACAUGUCACAGGCAUCCGCGAGUCACGCUUAAAGCAGACGAAGUCUCCAAUCUAGGUUGAUUUCAAGGACCAAUGUGUACGAAAGGUUGGGUUCGCAAGCAGACAUUCGUGCCCACCUGGGCUCGCCGGAAAAUGUUCAUGAAAGUUUAGGCCCUAAAGGAGGCCAACCAAACGACCCUCACAAUGAGGUUCGCAAUGAAAGGCGCUCCAUAGUUCACUCCUGAAG